GGGACCCCAAAACAGCACCCACAGGGGAGGCACCAGGGUUGGGGGAACAGCAGGAAUUAGGGGGCAUCAGGGUUGGGGGGGCGCACCGGGAGUUUGAGGGUCAUAUCAGGAAUUUGCGGGUCACCAGGGUGGGGAGGAAACAGGAAUUGGGGGGACGGGAAACACAAAUUGCGAGGGCACCAAGAGUUGGGGGGGUGUCACCAGAGUUGGGAGUCUCCAAGGUUUGGGAGAGCCCAGGAUUUCGAGGGGGGCACCCAGGAUUUGGGAGGGUGGAGGAGGGUUCGCAGGGGCACCAGGAAUUUGGGGGGACAUCAGGUUUGGGGGACAGCAGGACUUGGGAGUGCAGCAGGAAUUUAGAGGGCACCAGGAAUUGUGAGGUCCCAAGAUUUGGGGUCCCAGGAUUUCUGGGGCGGGAUGUCAGGAUUUGGGAGUGCUGAGGAGGGUCUGG